rnacentral:lncRNA from 1 species
ACUUUAAAACCGUGAUAGGAAAUAGGGUGAGGGGUCCUUACACGUUUCGGCGUCCGAACACGGUUUCACAGUGCACUUGCAGGCUGUCCUUAAUUUUCUCUGAAUUUUCCUCGGGGAACUGAAACGCACUACUGGUACCUGCACGUAUUCCAAAAAAUCCCAAAUUAGGCCCAGGGCCCCUUUCGGCCCAAAUCGCAACUCCGGCACGG